rnacentral:rRNA from 1 species
GACGAACGCUGGCGGCAUGCUUAACACAUGCAAGUCGAACGAGAACUUCCGGUUUAGUGGCGCACCGGUGCGUAACGACUGGUAACCAGCACUUAGGUUAGCUAUCACUCACCGUAAGGGAAGCUCAUACCGGUUGAUGUCAUCGCACCAAAGAUUUAUGGCCAUUGGAUGGGCCCGCGUUAGAUUGGCUAGUUGGUAGGGUACAAGCCUCCCAAGGCGACGUUCCUUAGCUGGUCUGUGAGCAGGAUCAGCCACGCUGGCACUGAGACACGGCCGAGACUCCUACGGAGGGCAGCAGUGGGGAAUAUUGGACAAUGGGCGAAAGCCUGAUCCAGCAAUGCCGCGUAAGUGAUGAAGGCCUUAGGAUUGUAAAGCUCUUUUACCCGGAAUGAGAAUGACAGUACCGGGUGAAGAAGCUCCGGCUAACUCCGUG